rnacentral:rRNA from 1 species
AGCAGCCACUCAUUAAAAGAGUGCGUAAUAGCUCACUGGUCGAGUGACUCUGCGCGGAAAAUAUAACGGGGCUAAGCAUGAAACCGAAGCUUGGGCUUGUACUUAGGUACAGGGGUAGGGGAGCGUCGAGUAUGGGGUGAAGUCAGAGCGGAAGCACUGGUGGACUGUACUCGAGUGAGAAUGCCGGAAUGAGUAGCGAGAAUUAUGUGGGAAUCAUAAUGGCCGAAAAUCUAAGGUUUCUUGGGGAAGGUUCGUCCGCCCAAGGUAAGCCGGGAGCUAAGGCGAGGCCGCGAGGCGUAGUCGAUGCACAUACGGUAGAAAUUCCGUAGCCACCGAACUUUAAACCAGAAGGACACUUUCAGAUAGCGGGACCCAGCCGUUGGUAGAGCUGGGCGCAAGGGACCGAAAUAUAGUAGGGAAGUCCGCGAUGCUGGGAGGCGAGAAAAGCUCUGGUGUACACUAAGGUGCCCGUACCGCAAACCGACACAGGUAGAUGAGGAGAGAAUCCUAAGGCCAACGGGAGAAGGGUUGUUAAGGAACUCGGCAAAUUGACCCCGUAACUUCGGAAGAAGGGGAGCCCCCUACGGGGGGUCGCAGAGAAAUGGCCCAAGCAACUGUUUACCAAAAACACAGGUCUAUGCUAAAUCGAAAGAUGACGUAUAUGGGCUGACGCCUGCCCGGUGCCGGAAGGUUAAGAGGAGAGCUUAGCGCAAGCGAAGGUUUGAAUUGAAGCCCCGGUAAACGGCGGCCGUAACUAUAACGGUCCUAAGGUAGCGAAAUUCCUUGUCAGGUAAGUUCUGACCCGCACGAAUGGCGUAAUGAUUUGGGCACUGUCUCAACAGCCCGCCCGGCGAAAUUGUAGUACUGGUGAAGAUGCCAGUUACCCGCAACUAGACGGAAAGACCCCAUGGAGCUUUACUGCAGCUUAAUACUGAAAUUCGGUAGUACAUGUACAGGAUAGGUGGGAGACUGAGAAAUACAGGCGUCAGCUUGUGUGGAGUCGCUGUUGGGAUACCACUCUUGUACUGCUGGGUUUCUAACCUGCGGCCGUGAAUCCGGUCGGGGGACACUGUUAGGCGGGCAGUUUGACUGGGGCGGUCGCCUCCAAAAGAGUAACGGAGGCGCUCAAAGGUUCGUUCAGCACGGACGGAAAUCGUGCAAUGAGUGUAAACGCAUAAACGAGCCUAACUGCGAGACCGACGGGUCGAGCAGUAACGAAAGUUGGAGUUAGUGAUCCGGUGGUAUGUGAGUGG